CAUUAUUGAAUUGCUUCAUCCAUCCGUUUGUCUGCCUUGUUUUCCUAUAUCUUCCUUCAGCUGUACUCUUUAGUUGAUCGACAUUUUUCAUACAAAGGCUGGGGACAUAUGGAUGAAAUUCAAGAAUAGAACCAGAACAGGUUGCACUGUGACUGAUGUGUGCAAACAAGCAAGCUCUGCACUGAGAAGGCAAGAAAGCAGCAGGCCAAACACUAAAAGCCACUAAGAGGUAGCACAGAACCAGGAACCAAAUGCACAAACUAAAGGGCUACAACAGCUUGAAGGACACCAAGAAACUGCUCUGGAAGAACAGAAAGGAAAAUAGCGUGCCUCCAAAGUAUGAAGACUUCCAUAAGCAAGACACAACCUCUGAGCGUAUUGACGUGAGCAUUAAUAAAGUGGUGAUGUAAGGUAUGUUAUAGAUGAAAAGACCCAAUUUGGCAAAUGACCAAGAAUGCUCACGCACAGAUUCAUCCCUUCUGACUGCACAGGUUGGGAACCUCCUCAUCAUGAAGAGACAGACACCUCCAGAAGGCAGUUCAGGCCUCUCCGGAGGGUGUUGUAUCUCACCAAAGAUCUGAAUUAACCUCUAAAGUUUUCUGUGUUUCUUAACUUACUGUAAAGUGCAGGUGUAAGGUGACUAAGCUAUUAACUUUGGGAUUCAGCUCUGUUUGGGCAAAUACAAGCC